GCAGCCGCGGUAAUACGUAGGUGGCAAGCGUUGUCCGGAAUUACUGGGUGUAAAGGGAGCGCAGGCGGGCGAGCAAGUUGGAAGUGAAAAUCAUGGGCUUAACCCAUGACCUGCUUUCAAAACUGCUUGUCUUGAGUGGUGUAGAGGUAGGCGGAAUUCCCGGUGUAGCGGUGGAAUGCGUAGAUAUCGGGAGGAACACCAGUGGCGAAGGCGGCCUACUGGGCACUAACUGACGCUGAGGCUCGAAAGCAUGGGUAGCAAACAGGAUUAGAUACCCC
rnacentral:rRNA from 1 species